GACGAACGCUGGCGGCGUGCCUAAUACAUGCAAGUCGAGCGAGCUUGCCUAGAUGAUUUUAGUGCUUGCACUAAAUGAAACUAGAUACGAGCGAGCGGCGGACGGGUGAGUAACACGUGGGUAACCUGCCCAAGAGACUGGGAUAACAUCUGGAAACAGAUGCUAAUACCGGAUAACAACACCAGACGCAUGUCUAGAGUUUGAAAGAUGGUUCUGCUAUCACUCUUGGAUGGACCUGCGGUGCAUUAGCUAGUUGGUGAGGUAACGGCUCACCAAGGCGACGAUCAGUAGCCGACCUGAGAGGGUGAACGGCCACAUUGGGACUGAGGCACGGCCCAA
rnacentral:rRNA from 1 species